UACGUAGGGUGCAAGCGUUGUCCGGAAUUAUUGGGCGUAAAGAGCUCGUAGGCGGUUUGUCGCGUCUGCUGUGAAAUCCCGAGGCUCAACCUCGGGCCUGCAGUGGGUACGGGCAGACUAGAGUGCGGUAGGGGAGAUUGGAACUCCUGGUGUAGCGGUGGAAUGCGCAGAUAUCAGGAGGAACACCGGUGGCGAAGGCGGGUCUCUGGGCCGUUACUGACGCUGAGGAGCGAAAGCGUGGGGAGCGAACAGG
rnacentral:rRNA from 1 species